AUGAUUCUUGGUCUUGUGGGAGUUAACAGAAAAGCCUCCAUCGCACACCGCAGCAGCCUGAACGGAUUACCUGAGGUCUCAAAGCACCAUCUAAAAAGAUGCGUGUUUCUAAAGAGGAAGGGCUUUCCCAGUGCUGACCUUUCCACAGGCUCUCUGCCUGAGCCCUGGGGCCUCUGGACUCUUCACUGUUCAGCCACUGCAGCCUGCUGCCUGGAGCCUGACUGAAUUUCAAAACAGACCCCUCUUCUACGGGGCAUGGCAGCUGAGAGGGGCUGUGCUUUGUUUCCAAAAUGCACAAGUAUGCCACUAUGAGUAAAUGGUGGUGGAGAUGCUCCCCUUCCCGUCCCUUUAGCUGAUGUGACUUUUGUACUAUAAAACAAUAUUUCUGUCUAGAGUACAUAUGAGCUCUGUUCUGCCAGCCCAUGUUGUGUCCAUUGGCAUACUUAAAAUAAUGCUUAAAAUAACUUUUACGUGCUGAAUUUUAAGUGAUUCAGAUGCUACUGUAGUUUAAGUUGUACAUGUGUGGACCUUGACAAAAAUAGAAGGGGACGUGGGAGUCCCAUAUUACAGAGGCUUUUUACACUGAUAAAGCUGUUUGAUGCAUCCACGAGAGCCUUUUACAAGGUAUUUUAACUUUAACCACUUUGCUGCUGCAGUCUCAGCUGCCCGGCAUCACUAGAAUUCUUUUGGGAUUUGAGUAAAACCUCAGCCCUACAGAGAAAUUCAGUUCUGCACAGACCAAAAGCAAAGCACUUAAUGGGUAUUAGUCUAAAAGGUACUUCUGUUUUAUGAGCUAUAUUUACACAUUUAACAGGUCACUUUCUAUUGCAAUUUACAUUUAAGUGCACUGGAAGCUUAUUCCUUUGUGUGCUAUUUAAUUUAAGAGGAUUUUCUUCUAUUUCUCUUAAUUUGGGGCAUUGUUCUGAUGGUACUAAAAUUAAUUCCACUAAUAGUUCUGGUAAUUCAGUGGAUGUUACUAACUUCCAUUUGUUUGGUUCCUUUCAUCCAAAUUCAUUCCAGUCCUUUUAAAACCUUUUACUUACUAUGCAAAUCAGUUAUGAAAUAUGUGAGAAUGAGUUUGCCUUCCUCUGAAAUGCAGCUACAUCUCAAAUAAAACAUUCUAACAGCUUCUAAUAUUUGCA
rnacentral:lncRNA from 1 species